CCAGGACCCCGAGAUCAUGACCUGAGCAGAAGGCAGGAAAUGCUAUUCGAAUUUUAGAUGCCAAAAGGCACAACGGGAUUACAAGAGCUCAGCUUUCAAGAAACGUGGACUAGACUGAUAUCAGCAUAUUGGUGGGAAAGGCAGCUCCAAGUUCUUGAUGCCCUCCCCCCAGAAACAUGGAAAGCCAAGAACUGUCAGUACCAACUUUACCAGAACUCUGGAAAACAGUCAAAAGUUUAUGGCAACCAAAUGAGCACAGACAAAAAAUGGGAAUUUCAAAAUGGUGGGAAAUUUCAUGGUGAUCUUUUUACUUGUCUUUCCCCCAUGUCCUCCGCAGUACAGCAGCAGUUUUGGUCUUAAAGCCUCAGCAGUCCAUAUUUCUGGUCCCUGGCUCUGGAGGGAGUUGUGAAGACCUUACCCACAAGUCAUUAUGUGUUAUGGACUGAAUCGCACCCCCCUCAAAAUUCAUAUGUUGAAGCCCUAACCCCCAAUGUGAUGGUAUUGGAG